GCUGGGCAUGGUGUCACAUGCCUGUAAUCCCAGCGGCUCAGGAGGCUGAGGCAGGAGGAUCGCAAGUUCAAAGCAAGCCUCAGCAAAGGUAAGGCACUAAGCAACCCAGUGAGACCCUGUCUUUA
rnacentral:sRNA from 1 species